rnacentral:rRNA from 1 species
UACCAGCACCCCGAGUGGUCGGGACGUUUAUUGGGCCUAAAGCAUCCGUAGCCGGUUCUACAAGUCUUCCGUUAAAUCCACCUGCUUAACAGAUGGGCUGCGGAAGAUACUAUAGAGCUAGGAGGCGAGAGAGGCAAGCGGUACUCGAUGGGUAGGGGUAAAAUCCGUUGAUCCAUUGAAGACCACCAGUGGCGAAGGCGGCUUGCCAGAACGCGCUCGACGGUGAGGGAUGAAAGCUGGGGGAGCAAACCGG